CCUACGGGGUGCUGCAGUGAGGAAUAUUGGUCAAUGGACGGAAGCCUGAACCAGCCAUGCCGCGUGCAGGAAGACGGCUCUAUGAGUUGUAAACUGCUUUUGUACAAGGGUAAACCUGAAUACGUGUAUUCAGCUGAAAGUACUGUACGAAUAAGGAUCGGCUAACUCCGUGCCAGCAGCCGCGGUAAUACGGAGGAUCCAAGCGUUAUCCGGAUUUAUUGGGUUUAAAGGGUGCGUAGGCGGAUUGAUAAGUUAGAGGUGAAAUGUCCGAGCUUAACUCGGGAACUGCCUCUAAUACUGUUGAUCUAGAGAGUAGAUGCGGUAGGCGGAAUGUAUGGUGUAGCGGUGAAAUGCUUAGAGAUCAUACAGAACACCGAUUGCGAAGGCAGCUUACCAAUCUAUAUCUGACGUUGAGGCACGAAAGCGUGGGGAGCAAACAGGAUUAGAUACCCUGGUAGUC
rnacentral:rRNA from 1 species